CUUGGACAAUGGGCGCAAGCCUGAUCCAGCCAUGCCGCGUGGGCGAGGAAGGUCUUCGGACUGUAAAGCCCUUUCUCGGGGAAGAACCGUUCCGGAGGCAAUGCCCGGGGCCUGACGGUACCCGAGGAAUAAGCAACGGCUAACUCCGUGCCAGCAGCCGCGGUAAUACGGAGGUUGCGAGCGUUGUUCGGAAUGACUGGGCGUAAAGGGAGCGCAGGCGGUUCGAAAGGUCCGGCGUGAAAGCCCGGGGGCUCAACCCCGGCGGGUCGUCGGAUACCGUCGAACUGGAGUACGGAAGAGGAGAGCGGAAUUCCGGGUGUAGCGGUGAAAUGCGUAGAUAUCCGGAGGAACACCGGUGGCGAAAGCGGCUCUCUGGUCCGAUACUGACGCUCAGGCUCGAAAGCGUGGGGAGCAAACGGGAUUAGAUACCCCGGUAGUCCACGCCGUAAACGUUGUGCGCUAGGUGUAGGCGGUAUCGACCCCGCCUGUGCCGCAGCUAACGCAUUAAGCGCACCGCCUGGGGAGUACGCCCGCAAGGGUG
rnacentral:rRNA from 1 species